GUUUCCAGUACGUCUCUACCAUCUCACUCUCUAUACUGUUCUCCUUCAACCCAAAAUUCCCCUGAGUUCUGAAAGCCCUCACCUUCAACACAUUGUACUAACUUAGAAAUGAGCAAGUUUGUUUACAGAAAUGAGCUGGAAGAAGAUGAGUCGUCACUCGUCAUGGCACAUCAUGCAUUUCUUUGUCGUCGUCGGCGGCCUCUACUGCUGCAGCAGUUAUAUGGUCGAUUAUGGUUACUAUAAGCAAGGACAUGUGGGUUUGUUAUAGAUUUGUGUUACAAACUUGAUUUUGUAAUGCAUACUAGCCUAAUCACACGCGCGAUGUGCUUGCUGUUUUGCUAAAAAAAAAAAACACGAACUCUUCCCCUUCAAUAUUAUAUAGUAAUUUUACAAUAACACACUGCAACAAUUGUAUUGAAAAUUAUCAUCAGAAAGAGGGUACAAACAGUUAUUAUUUUUCA